GAUGAAGAACGUAGCGAAAUGCGAUAAGUAAUGUGAAUUGCAGAAUUCAGUGAAUCAUCGAAUCUUUGAACGCACAUUGCGCCCCCUGGUAUUCCGGGGGGCAUGCCUGUUCGAGCGUCAUUUCAACCCUCAAGCUCUGCUUGGUAUUGGGCGUCGCCGGGGAGUCUCCCCGGCGUGCCUCAAAGCCAUCGGCGGUGGUGCCUUUCUCUAAGCGUGGUAGAAUUUUUAUUCGCUUCUGAGUUGGGCUUCGCCUGCCGGACAAACCGGGCCCUUGCGGCCCACCUUCUCAGGUUGACCUCGGAUCAGGUAGGGAUACCCGCUGAACUUAAGCAUAUCAAUAAGCGGAGGA
rnacentral:misc_RNA from 1 species